UACGAAGGGGGCUAGCGUUGCUCGGAAUCACUGGGCGUAAAGCGCACGUAGGCGGCUUCUUAAGUCAGAGGUGAAAUCCUGGAGCUCAACUCCAGAACUGCCUUUGAUACUGGGAAGCUUCGAGUCCGGAAGAGGUGAGUGGAACUGCGAGUGUAGAGGUGAAAUUCGUAGAUAUUCGCAAGAACACCAGUGGCGAAGGCGGCUCACUGGUCCGGUACUGACGCUGAGGUGCGAAAGCGUGGGGAGCAAACAGG
rnacentral:rRNA from 1 species